ACAGCUCAGUAACACGUAGUCAACCUAACCUAUGGACGGGAAUAACCUCGGGAAACUGAGAAUAAUGCCCGAUAGAACACUAUACCUGGAAUGGUUUGUGUUCCAAAUGAUUUAUCGCCAUAGGAUGGGACUGCGGCCUAUCAGUUUGUUGGUGAGGUAAUGGCCCACCAAGACUAUUACAGGUACGGGCUCUGAGAGGAGUAGCCCGGAGAUGGGUACUGAGACACGGACCCAGGCCCUAUGGGGCGCAGCAGGCGAGAAGACUUUGCAAUGUGCGAAAGCACGACAAGGUUAAUCCGAGUGAUUUGUGCUAAACGAAUCUUUUGUUAGUCCUAGAAACACUAACGAAUAAGGGGUGGGCAAGUUCUGGUGUCAGCCGCCGCGGUAAAACCAGCACCUCAAGUGGUCAGGAUGAUUAUUGGGCCUAAAGCAUCCGUAGCCGGCUCUGUAAGUUUUCGGUUAAAUCUGUACGCUUAACGUACAGGCUGCCGGGAAUACUGCAAAGCUAGGGAGUGGGAGAGGUAGACGGUACUCGGUAGGAAGUGGUAAAAUGCUUUGAUCUAUCGAUGACCACCUGUGGCGAAGGCGGUCUACCAGAACACGUCCGACGGUGAGGGAUGAAAGCUGGGGGAGCAAACCGGAUUAGAUACCCGGGUAGUCCCAGCUGUAAACUAUGCAAACUCAGUGAUGCAUUGGCUUGUGGCCAAUGCAGUGCUGCAGGGAAGCCGUUAAGUUUGCCGCCUGGGAAGUACGUACGCAAGUAUGAAACUUAAAGGAAUUGGCGGGGGAGCACCACAAGGGGUGAAGCCUGCGGUUCAAUUGGACUCAACGCCGG
rnacentral:rRNA from 1 species